UUUGUGUGUAUUUCUCUGCAGUCUUUCAUCAACGGCCUGUUACCUGGUGAUGAGUAUGAUAUCCCCCCUCUGCGUCACUCCCCUCCCCUUGUGGACCACAACCAGAGACACACCAACCCCUUCACAAGCCACCGAAGUCUGACGGACAGAGUGGAGGACGAGUAUCAGAUUCCCUCAUCACAUCCCGUCUGCAUCACACAGCCGGCCGUCUGCAUCCCCUUCCGCAUCCCCAACAGGGCUUUAGAAAACGGCUCGUCGGAUCUCUCAACAGACAUAAAGAAACAUAAACCUCCAGAGCAUGGUGGGUUUGACUCUGGUUCGUUGAUUUUGGGUUUGGCUCACACCACACAGUGCCCCCUCCACAACAGGACACCCUCAGACUAUGACAUUCUACUGCCCCCUCAAGGUAGC